rnacentral:rRNA from 1 species
UAAAGCUCUGUGGGGCGGGACGAAUAAGUAGAGGCUAAUACCCUCUAUGAUGACGGUACCGCCUUAGCAAGCACCGGCUAACUCUGUGC